rnacentral:misc_RNA from 1 species
GAUGAAGAACGUAGCGAAAUGCGAUAAGUAAUGUGAAUUGCAGAAUUCAGUGAAUCAUCGAAUCUUUGAACGCACAUUGCGCCCGCCAGUAUUCUGGCGGGCAUGCCUGUUCGAGCGUCAUUACAACCCUCAGGCCCCCGGGCCUGGCGUUGGGGAUCGGCGGAAGCCCCCUGCGGGCACAACGCCGUCCCCCAAAUACAGUGGCGGUCCCGCCGCAGCUUCCAUUGCGUAGUAGCUAACACCUCGCAACUGGANANCGGCGCGGCCACGCCGUAAAACACCCAACUUCUGAAUGUUGACCUCGAAUCAGGUAGGAAUACCCGCUGAACUUAAGCAUAUCAAUAGCGGAGGA